AGUGAACGCUGGCGGCAGGCCUAACACAUGCAAGUCGAACGGCAGCACAGCAGUAGCAAUACUGUGGGUGGCGAGUGGCGGACGGGUGAGGAAUGCAUCGGAAUCUGCCUAUUUGUGGGG
rnacentral:rRNA from 1 species